rnacentral:rRNA from 1 species
UACAGAGGUCUCAAGCGUUGUUCGGAUUCAUUGGGCGUAAAGGGUGCGUAGGUGGCGCCGUAAGUCGGGUGUGAAAUUUCGGAGCUUAACUCCGAAACUGCAUUCGAUACUGCGGUGCUUGAGGACUGGAGAGGAGACUGGAAUUCAUGGUGUAGCAGUGAAAUGCGUAGAGAUCAUGAGGAAGACCAGUGGCGAAGGCGGCCUGCUGGGCAGUUACUGACACUGAUGCGCGACAGCGUGGGGAGCAAACAGG